UAUGCCCAGGGCUACACACGUGCUACAAUGGGGAGUACAAAGGGCUGCAACAUAGUGGUAUGAAGCCAAUCCCAAAAAACGCCUNUCAGUUCAGAUUGGAGUCUGCAACUCGACUCCAUGAAGCUGGAAUCGCUAGUAAUCGUAUAUCAGCAAUGAUACGGUGAAUACGUUCCCGGACCUUGCACACACCGCCCGUCAAGCCAUGGAAGCCGGGUGUACCUAAAGUCGGUAACCGUAAGGAGCCGCCUAGGGUAAAACUGGUGACUGGGGCUAAGUCGUAACGAGGUAGCCGUAA
rnacentral:rRNA from 1 species